UCCCUGGUGGCUCAGAGGUUAAAGCGUCUGCCUCCCACGUGGGAGACCCGGGUUCGAUCCCUGGCUCGGAAA
rnacentral:tRNA from 1 species